rnacentral:rRNA from 1 species
AGCAGCCGCGGUAAUUCCAGCUCCAAUAGCGUAUAUUAAAGUUGUUGCAGUUAAAAAGCUCGUAGUUGAAUUUCGGGGUUAGUAGGUUGGUCAUGCCUCUGGUAUGUACUGGUCUCACUGAUUCCUCCUUCCUGAUGAGCCGUAAUGCCAUUAAUUUGGUGUUGCGGGGAAUUUGGACUGUUACUUUGAAAAAAUUAGAGUGUUUAAAGCAAGCUAACGCUUGAAUACAUUAGCAUGGAAUAAUGAAAUAGGACGUUCGAUCCUAUUUUGUUGGUUUCUAGGAUUGACGUAAUGAUUAAUAGGGAUAGUUGGGGGCAUUAGUAUUCAAUUGUCAGAGGUGAAAUUCUUGGAUUUAUUGAAGACUAACUACUGCGAAAGCAUUUGCCAAGGAUGUUUUCAUUAAUCAAGAACGAAAGUUAGGGGAUCGAAGACGAUCAGAUACCGUCGUAGUCUUAACCAUAAACUAUGCCGACUAGGGAUCGGAUGGUGUUAAUUUUUAAUGACUCAUUCGGCGCCUUAC